CCUACGGGUGGCUGCAGUGAGGAAUAUUGGUCAAUGGACGAGAGUCUGAACCAGCCAAGUAGCGUGAAGGAUGACUGCCCUAUGGGUUGUAAACUUCUUUUAUAUGGGAAUAAAAUGUUCCACGUGUGGGAUUUUGUAUGUACCAUAUGAAUAAGGAUCGGCUAACUCCGUGCCAGCAGCCGCGGUAAUACGGAGGAUCCGAGCGUUAUCCGGAUUUAUUGGGUUUAAAGGGAGCGUAGGUGGAUUGUUAAGUCAGUUGUGAAAGUUUGCGGCUCAACCGUAGAAUCGCAGUUGAAACUGGCGGUCUUGAGUACAGUAGAGGUGAGCGGAAUUCGUGGUGUAGCGGUGAAAUGCUUAGAUAUCACGAAGAACUCCGAUUGCGAAGGCAGUUCACUGGACUGCAACUGACACUGAGGCUCGAAAGUGUGGGUAUCAAACAGGAUUAGAUACCCCAGUAGUC
rnacentral:rRNA from 1 species